rnacentral:rRNA from 1 species
CAGUAGCCACGGUAAUGCGUAGGUGGCAAGCGUUGUCCGGAAUUAUUGGGCGUAAAGCGCGCGCAGGUGGUUUAAUAAGUCUGAUGUGAAAGCCCACGGCUCAACCGUGGAGGGUCAUUGGAAACUGUUAAACUUGAGUGCAGGAGAGAAAAGUGGAAUCCCUAGUGUAGCGGUGAAAUGCGCAGAGAUUAGGAGGAACACCAGUGGCGAAGGCGGCUUUUUGGCCUGUAACUGACACUGAGGCGCGAAAGCGUGGGGAGCAAACAGGAUUAGAUACCCGUGUAGUCCCUGUCUCUUAUAC